CCAAACCAGAAAAGAAGAGAAACCAAAGAAGAACAAACCCUAGGUGGGAAAAAUCAAAGAGAAAGUGUUGGAAUUCAAGGAUUUGAUCAAGCAAAGGUAAAAUUUCUUUGAUUUUGCUAGUGAUUUACCGUACGCAUGCAUUUCUCCUUAAUUUCCAUGGUUGGAUUGUAUGUUUUCAUGGGGAAAUCAUGGCUGGGCGAAUGGGUUUGGUGAGAGAAAUGAUGUUGGAAUUGUUUGAUUUUGAGUUAUGUUGGUGUUUAGAGCUAGUUAAGCAUGUUUAGAAACAAAACAACAAGAAAAGAAUCCAUUUUCCCCAUGAACCUACAAUGGCCGAACCCUAUGUGAAGUGUAGAAGUAAUGAAUUGAUUUUGUGAUCAAGUGAAUUGGUUGAGAAAUUGAUGAAAUGAUGAUUUAUGUUAAGAAUAUGGAAUGGAAAAAUUUUUAGUGAUAGUGCAUCACAAUGGUCGAAAUUUUCAAGAAGAAUUGUGAGGAUUGUUAGGCUGAAUUUUAGAUUAUUGGAAUUGUAUUUAGUGAAUUGAAAUAUUAGAAAUGAAAUGGUGCAAUUUGGAGCCAAAUCGGAUACAAUUAUCAUUUAAUCAGGUAAUAGGCCAAAUUAGGUCAGCACUGCAUUUAAGCGGUAGUUGGAUAAGUUGCAUAUCAUAUCAUGCAUAUACACCGAGCCUGAAUUGAUUUUAUAAUGGUCAAGAAUUAAUGUGGUGAAUUAUGUAUUGUACAUCGUGGAUAGGUGGUGAGCAAAUUACACUAGUAAAAGUACAAAUAUUGUACUUGAAGACUGAGAUUAGGAGUAUAUCGACUCCUAGAACUGUGAGUAAACUUAUUAUCGUCUUAAUUAUCUAGAGUAGUUUUAUACAAUUGAGUGAUUUUAUAGAAAAUGGGUUUAAAUGGUAAAUUGCUAUGUUUUAGGAGAAAUUGUGAUUUAUAAAAUGAUUUUAUAAAUUUUCUGAAAAAUUGAAUACUGGUUUUGAAAAUAGAUUAAUUGGAGACUGUCUGCUUGUGUUAUAAAUUGUGUUUUAAAUUAUAUGGCUUAUAGCAAUAUGUGUGCAUGAAUGGCAAAGUCGGUAUUUGUAUCAAAAUUAUAUAUACUAUGUAUUCAGCCUUGAGAGGCUAGAUUGCGAUAAAUUUCCAUGUCAUACAGAUAAAUAUUUUAUAAAUCAGGUGGUAGAUAAAAUAAUCCAUAAUCCCUACAGUGGAGGUUCUAUGGACCAGCCUAAGAGAGAGGGCAUAGAAUCAAAUAUACCUGACCUCGAUCGGAGAGCCGUGUGGAGGGUUUCUCUAGAGGUAAAGAUUUGAGUGCACUUCACAUGGACCACCACGUGAGAGUGAGACUCAGCCAACGCCAAG
rnacentral:lncRNA from 1 species